rnacentral:piRNA from 1 species
UAUAAGACUGAAGUAAGCUGGAUGAUGG